CCAAUCCUAGCCUCGCCUCGUCCCACUCCCACUCCCAUUCUAGCCGCCAGACGAACCCUAGUCCCCUUGCCCAAUGCCCCCGAUCCCCAAAGCCGCCGCACGGCCUCGCUCCUCCUUCCCUCCCGCCGCACCCUUUCCUUGAUCGCAGCUGCCUCCUUCCCACCUCCGCCCGAGCUCCGCCUCCUCCUCCUUGCCAUCGGCGGAAGCCUCAAGCCCCGGCAUCACCGCCACCAGAUCCACCUCGCAACCUCUCUUCCUCCCCUGUCUGACUGCUGCGUGGUCGCGUCGGGCCCAUGCCGGGGCCGCCGCCACCGCUGCAGUCGCCGCCUCUGGAUGGCUCCGUCGGUCCCUCCCGCUCCAGAUCGAAAACUGAGAGAGCGACGGGAGGGAAGAAGGGGAUCGGGGGAGCCGCCGAGGCUGGGCAACUCGCUCCCAGGGAGCUCCCCUGCUUCGGGAGGGAAGGAUGAAAUCGGGGGAGCUCCCUGCAGCCUCUCCCUGACCCACGCCACCGGCCCUAUCUCUCUGCUCACCUCCUCCUCUCCUAUUCCCUGCCGUCAUGGUUCCGGAUCGGGGCUUGGGCCAUCGUCGUGGGGGAGCAGGGACGGCGGGGUCUUCACAGUGGAGGUGGAGCUGUAGGGGAGGGGAGGAUGCCAAUGACAAGGGAAAGGAGGAGGCCGAAGAGGACGGCAAUGGGGAGGCCGGCAGGGAAGGAGCAGGGAGAGGGCUUCUGCUUCUUCCAGCGGGCCAUGGCACCCGAGUUCAUCGUCAUCGUGUCCCUUGAGUUGAGCCCCCGUCGCCCCCCACUCCUCUCACUUUCUCGCGACAUCUCGCUGUCGAUCGCCACCCCAUUUCAAAAAUUCAGAGAGAGAUGCUGCGCGGCUCCCUCUGGCGGCUCCUGGCCGUGGCCGUGGCCGUGCCGGCGGCGACGCGGGCGGUGGCCGCCCUGAAGGCCGGUCGGAGCCUGCACCGGGACUUCGACGACGGCCGGGUGGUGGAGCUGGCGCUGGACCGGGAGACGGGGUCCAGGCUGGAGUCCAAGGACCGGUACCUCUUCGGGCGGUUCGAUCUCGACAUCAGGCUCGUCGCCGACGAGUCCGCCGGGACCAUCACUUCCUUCUAUGCACGUCAGGUCCCCCUCAAAACAGCCUAUUGUUCCAUUUUCAGCAGGAGCAACAGCAGCAGCCAGCAACUGAAUUAAUUUUGUAGGUGGUGUGAUCGGCCAGCAUGUGGCGCUCCCUUUUCAGCUGUGGUCCAGUUGUAGUACUGCGUAUUUAUUUAUCGGACCCAACCCGACCCCAAGGACCAUGGCUGAACGCAGCCUGGGUGUGAUGGUUUUUCAGGCUUUUGGUCUCUGUCUAUCUCUUCUUGUCGUCAUCAAAGGCUGAAGGGUGGUACGUAGUACAUGCAGAUGGGAAUGUGAGUGUUGCGGUUGGACAGGGGAUGAGGAGAACGAGUCUCCCUUGCGGAUUAGUGGUUGGUGCAUGAUGCUGGAUUGGUUGGCUGGUUGGGCUUGGUCCUUGGUGUGUUAGUUGAUUAAUCAUAGGCUGGUGGUUUGAGGUUGUCUGCAUCUGAUUGUUCAGUCAGUUGUUGAAUUUAUAGUUGCCAGGCAUAUGGGUAAGAUUCUGUGCACAUUUUUUUCAUGUAUUUUGUUGAGAGGAAGUAUCCUUUAGAAAACAGAGAGGUUGAAAAAAGACAUUCUUUUAAGAAGUGAAGAUAUGGCUGCUUUUAGUAAGCUUUAGAUAUGGCUGCUUUUAGUAAGCUUUUUAUCGGUUAUACUGAACUGUGUUCUAAAACUAUUGUCACAAUCCUGAAUUCUGAUCCUUCAUUCCUCUCGGACCAUGUCUAAAAUAAACCAAACCUCUGUGUUUACAUUUUUUGGUAAAAAUAAUUUCUUGCCUAUUGCAAUUAGGUAUAGAUUAAAACUUUUCAGUGCGAGAGUUCAGGCAUCACUAUGGUGCCAUACUGACCAAUGCAACAAGAUGUAUACUUCCAGUUCGGGGAACAUGCAUUUUGUAGGGAGUACAGUAUUGCUUGCACAUAUUCAGACUUGCCGCAGGUAGAACUGAUAUAUUAGUAGGUCACUAGCCCAAAAUAUAGUUAUAAUGAUGAACCUUUCAGCUUAAUGUUUAUGUCUUGCAGAUCAUUAUUUGAAUAUUUUCUUUUGUAUAUGUAGACACAAAAACAAAAUGUAUAGGUUAGUUUGAUGUGUUACAGGAGGGAAGCAGCGGAUGCGAGCCAGGAGGCGGAUCGGCUCGACCCAGCCAUGGAGCUGCCGCUGCGGACUCCCUGCCGGCCUCCUUCGUCUUCAUGUGGAUUUGCAUGGCAAGUGAUGUUGCGUUGCCAAUGACACAUCUAGAAUUGCUGUUCGUGACUCCUAUGUUCCUGAAUUUUUCUUUGUAGUGGUUGGGUGCUGCCAUAAAACCUGUAACAGCAGCAAGAUGCAGUUCUCGGCAAAUCGCUUUUAGAUCUGAGAAAGAAGAUGAACAGGAGAAUCCAAUAGAAGAAUUUGGUGAAGAACAAGCAUACAGGAAAAGAAUACAAUCAUAAGGCUGAUGCUGCUUAUCAACAUCCUUGUACACAAUACCCCAGAAGGAUUUGUAGGUAGCCUUUUCGAAGUGAAUUUUACAUAUCUUUGCCAAGCAAGAGGUUUGACAAGAUCUCUAUCACCCAUGGAAACACCACCAGAAGUAAGGAUUAUAUCAGCAUCAGAACAUAGAGCUGCAUCCAUAUGCUCCACAAGACUUCCUUCGGGUUGCGGAUGGAGGAGUACGUUAUUUCGACGGUCCUCUAUUUUACUGUUGCGUGUGCCUUCAGGUCCAUCAGUCUGUUAUUGCCGUUAUCUUCUUGAGAGUACUUGAGAAGGCGUGGCUGGGAAUGUGGGGACACGCCGCGCGUGGUCGGCAAGAGGAGUCAGGGAGGCAUGAAGGUGGACAUGUGGAUGUUAUCGUGGCAUUGACACAUUUCGCUCCACGGAUGCUACAUACCAGGGUGGUGGUGCAGGAUUCAUUGGAAGCCACACAGGGCACCCGAGAAGGAGAGGAGAAUGCGCUGAAGAGAGGAAAUGAUAAGUUUCAUUGUUUUGUUUUAAGAGCAAGGGAGUUGAUAUGUAGUCCCCUGGCUUAUUUGUAUUCUACUAUGUGUAUGGCCAAAGAAAUCAUGAUUUUAUACACACAUAUAUUUUUAAACAAACCUAUGUAUUUUUUGCUCAAACAGUCACCCGGAAGUGCACAUAUUUUCAAUGCGUAA